UACGUAGGGGGCAAGCGUUGUCCGGAAUCAUUGGGCGUAAAGAGCGUGUAGGCGGCCCGGUAAGUCCGCUGUGAAAGUCCAGGGCUCAACCCUGGAAUGCCGGUGGAAACUGUCGGGCUAGAGUCCGGAAGAGGCGAGUGGAAUUCCUGGUGUAGCGGUGAAAUGCGCAGAUAUCAGGAGGAACACCGGUGGCGAAGGCGGGUCUCUGGGCCAUAACUGACGCUGGAGGAGCGAAAAGCGUGGGGGAGCGAAACAGG
rnacentral:rRNA from 1 species